rnacentral:misc_RNA from 1 species
AAUUCUCAACCUUCCAACUUUUAUUAGCUUGGUUAGGCUUGGAUGUGGGGGUUGCGGGCUUCAUUAACGAGGUCGGCUCUCCUUAAAUGUAUUAGCGGAACUUUUGUGGACCGUCUAUUGGUGUGAUAAUUAUCUACGCCGUGGAUGUGAAGCAGCUUUAUGAAGUUCAGCUUCUAACCGUCCCUUGACUUGGACAAUUCUUGACA